rnacentral:lncRNA from 1 species
CCAGGCAAUGUGAUUAUUCACCAGAUGACAGAGGAAAAUAUUGACUAACUUGCUCAAGGUCGUAGUGAGCUAAUGACCAAGCUGGGAUUCAAUGCCCAUCUGACAGAUGUCAAAGUCCUGGAGAGUCUCACUGCACCUUUCUGACUCACUGAACUCACACAGGGCCCUGUUGUGGUGGGGACUGACACGGAAGUGCCCAGGAAGUGAGGAAGUUGGACUUCCAGGAAGGGCAGGAUUAGAGAGAUGCUCAUCAACACGAAAUCUACAAUUCCCUUAUAAUUGGCUAUGUGGAUGUAGGGCCUAUUGCAUUCCAGGUAGAGUUUUUAGAGGAUGGACUUCCUUAAUUCUUGCAAUGGCAUCAUGAAGUAAGAAUGAUGGCGGUACCCAUUUUGUGUGUGUGUGUGUGUGUGUGUGUGUGUGUCUGUGUGUGGUUUGAGACCGGGAUCUCAUUCAGGCUGGCCUUGAAUUUACUAUGUAUCUCAGGCUGGUCUCAAACUCAUGACAACCCUCCUGCCUCAGCCUCCUGAGUACUGGGAUUAUAGGUGGGUACCACCACGCCCAUCUGUAUCCAUUUUUAAUAUUAGAAAACUCCAGCAGGGGGAGGAUUUAAAACCAGG